UAUUAGCCUAUUUUUUUUUUCGUCCCACUUCUGGGCACAGGCCUCCUCUCACACGGAGAAGGAUUGAGCAUUAAUCACCACGCUUGCUCAAUGCGGGUUGGUGACUUCAGACUAUAUAGUCCAGGUUUGCUUAAGAUGUUUUCCUUCACCUUUUUACCAGCCAUUGUUGUCUAAGAUAUACUUUAGAAAGUACAUACAAACAUAGAAAAGUUGCAUUGGUACUUGCCUGGACUGGAAUCGAACCCACACCCUCAUACUCGAGAGGUUGGUUCUUUACCCACUAGGCCACCACGACUUUUGUGUACUUGUGUGACUGUUGUGGUAAGGUUAAGAAUCUAUUGAAGAAAUUAAAAAGAUUGAGUAAGUGCUGUCGUCUGGGUGUAGGUACUGAAUCAGUAGAUGGUACACUAUCAGCGCCUUUUAUAUUUUUGAAUGUUGAAAAGAGUUACUUAAUAGUUGAUAGUUUGAUACACGAGUAUAGAGCGGCGUAUGCGUCUGCGGCGUCACGGUAAAGAUAUGGACAAUAUGGAAACUAAGCCUAUCUGCGGACAUAACUACCUACGCUCCGUUGAAGCAAUAGGGUUGUCACUUUUAAUGAUAUUGGUGUUGUUCUUUUCAUCAUCAAUCAUCGAAUUUAAAUAACUACCUAGCUCACUUAUACAAAUACAAUUUACUUAAAUAGGUAAUUUCAUGGCUUCGGUUAAUCUCAGCAAAAACGAUAGUUUGAACACGAAAAACAAUUUAAUAUUCACACAUCUAUAAAACUUUUAUAAUUACGGUGGCGUAACCUUUGCAAGUUUUGGUGGGAGUGAGCGAGCCGAGGUUGGACGAAAAUGUUUCGGGCGUUAGUGUGGGUCCACACUGCAAGCGCGGUGACUGGAGCCUAGGCGGGCGCGGCGAGCGGUGGCGUCGGGUGGCCACAGUGAAGGCGCGAGCUCUUGUAGCGGUGUGACGUACAUCAGGAGUGCAACACGUUGACUUAUAGGAAAUUGUUCUUUUAUUUCACUCCAUAACUUUCUUGUUAUUGUGCGAUUAUUGUGGUGUGGAUGUUUGCUUUGCCAGAUCGGUGGUUUAGAUUGAAUUGCACUUAUGAACGAUUCAGUAUUCACAGCCAUUUUUUAGACAAACGAAUAUAAAUGGACAUACGCCGAACGACAAGAUCGAACUGGUUUGUUACCCCCGCCGUCCGCGCAUUGGGUCGCUCGAUGACUAGGCCCGUAGUGUGGCCAGAAGGCGAAGAUAGAAGCGUUUGAAACUUACGCUCGCUGUGUCGCUCGGUCCCAUCGCACUAGGCUUCCGCCUUAGUCACUUCAAUAUGGACACAAAGGCGCGUUUCAUAUGUUUGAUAUUUCGCGCCCGUCGUCGCAACCGCGCUAGGCUCGCAGUGUGGACCCACACUAUUGGAGCGGGCGCGCGAUUGUCGCUCGCCGCACCGACUCGCGCGCGAUGGCGCGUGGACAAGGCUCAAGGACUUUUUACAUAAAUAAGUACUAAUGAUCAAACAAAUAAACUACUGUGUCUUGUCAAAAUCGACAACCUGAGGGGGUGAGGUACGAGCCCACUGCGGGGCGCCGCUCAUGUUUUCGCCGAUACGAAAAUGCGCAGUCAAGCAAUGACAGUUUAAAUUCGGCUAUCAUGACAACUACGUUUGCAAUAAACAACCUAACAAUCUAAUACAAAUAAAUAUUUGGAAAAUAAAUAAAUUUUGUGAAUGGAAUCACAUAUUUAGCAGAGUUUAACGGUCAUUAUCAUAAUGUUCCUAUUUUUUAAGACCGGUGGAAGGCGUCUAAAACCGUAAUCUCACAUCAUACCUACGCUUAAAAACAUUUUGUUGCAAGAGUAAAGCAUCCACAGCACUCAUGAUCAUCUUCCAUGGAGCUAAUUAUAUGUAGUACAUUAAAAUAAAUGCACUUUCAGUAAUUAAAAAAGAACUUAUAGGAUGUUAUUACAAAUAUAUUUUUUUAUAUUAUUUUUGUGAAUACGAAGGAUAGACUGUCAUUGGAUGACAAAGCGACAUGACCACUCGUCUCUACGGCGCGGAACGCCGUCUGGCAGAAAGCAGAAUUCAUGAAAUGAUAAUUGUCAUUGAAUUUUAUAAGUUUUUUUUUUACAUUUCUCCUUAUGUGUUUGAUAAAGCCAUAUAAUAUGUAGUAUUUGUACUUCGCUUUGGAAUUUUUCUAUCGUUUAGUGAUAAAACAUGUGUAGGUUAUCUUUGAAUAUUUUGAGAAUUAGCUGACGAAAAUUUUUUCGAGAGGCAAUUUCAAGCCUUUUUUGUGUAAUAUAUGUGUUAGACUAUUUUUUUAAUAAGUUUUUUUCAUAUUCUCUGGUCAAUAUCGUAUCCUCGACUACUCACUGUUAAAUUUUCUGAUCUAUAGAAUGUAUCCAGGCCUCAUACUACCCAACGAAAAAACUAAUGUUUUCGAAGUGCGGAGCCUUAAUAAAUUCUUCGUAUUGAUAAAGUAAUUGUUGUUAUUGUAUUUACAUUUAUUUUUAGCUGUUCUUUAUUUUGAACUGAGUUUUGAAAUUAACCCUCUUAUUAUAAAACGCGGUAUCAAAUAAGUAUCGGCUUUUGUACUACCUUUAAUCCACCUUUAAGUACGACCAAAAACGUUAUUACAAAACGCAGUUUAUCGCAAGUCCUAUUACUAUCUGUAGUACAAAAGAUAAACCAUCGAGCCCCCUAGUUUAACUGCAGUACUUAGUCGACAAACGUCAAAUUCCACAUUAUUUACUUUUGAGGUUAUUUGUUUUGUGAUGAAAAAAACGAAAGUGGAUAUAAAUAUGUGUGAUUUGGAAUACUUGGAUGUGUUAGAAUACUAUUGAGAGUGUCCGGGGACCCAACAGAAUGCGUCAUCGACAAAAUCUCUUCAAAUUACCUGACGACAAUUUUCGAUAUAAAUAUCGAUUUACGUUUUUCGAAAUAAUAGUCAAUUGAAUGCAUGAUGAUAAUCCAGGAUGAUGAUAUGAUGCUCAACUGGGCUCGCCAUAAAAUUCAAGACUAUUUUGGCGUUUUGCACGCCGUAUCUCUGCCAGUAAUAUGCAAUGUUUGUAAAAGACUGGAAGCUUGCUAAAAUGUACAAAAAUGCCUAGAUGAGAAAGGGAACAAGAUUGUGUGAUGAAGAACAGUGUCCAACAUGUAUCAGUGCAUUGGACUGUAUAAAUAGACAUCGGAAUAAAAUAUAAUUUUCUACUUUUA
rnacentral:lncRNA from 1 species